UACGUAGGUGGCAAGCGUUGUCCGGAAUUAUUGGGCGUAAAGCGCGCGCAGGCGGUCUCUUAGUCUAUGUGAAAGCCCCCCGGCUCAACCGGGGAGGGUCAUUGGAAACUGGGAGACUUGAGGACAGAAGAGGAGAGUGGAAUUCCAAGUGUAGCGGUGAAAUGCGUAGAUAUUUGGAGGAACACCAGUGGCGAAGGCGGCUCUCUGGUCUGUUACUGACGCUGAGGCGCGAAAGCGUGGGGAGCAAACAGGAUUAGAUACCCGGGUAGUCC
rnacentral:rRNA from 1 species